GCCCGCCCUGGCGACCGAGGAAAGUUUGGAACGAGUGAGGUCGGAGCAAACAUGGAGGACAUGGGAAAAAUCACAUAGUGUUUCGGUGGAGAUCUGACCCACUUUUCCUAAUGUUGGACUUCGAUAAAUUACCGAUACACUCACUAGGUGGUUGUAGAAGGUGUAUGCGAAAGCUUCAAACAAAUUUGAAGCUUUCGAUGCCGUUUUAAUGGCACUAUGAACCUAGACUCGCUAACUGCUGCUUUGUCUCAUAUUGGUAAUCUGGUCGCCAGUUUGACAAAGAAAAACCUGAACUCUAGUGUUCAAGAGAUUCAGGAAGUGGUGUGUCAGUUUGGUGGAGAGGCAGAGCGACACUUGUACCGGGUGCUGAUUGGUCACCUGGAGUGGUCUGGACCUCAGGGAGUAGAAAGUCAUCGACCCUCACCAAACAAUAAUAAUAAUAAUAAGGACAAAGAGACUACCUGUAGUGUUGGCAUAGCCACACUUACGUGGUCAUCCACUAGUGGGGGGGCUGGUGCCCUUCUCUUGCAACAUUUGGCUACUACACUUCCUCCAACAUCUUUCAUUGCUAACCUUGCCAUUGCCACUGCCAACCCACCAAAUCCCAGCAAGUUCAUCAAGCCACAGUGGGUUACUGGAGUGUGCAAGGCACUCAGGCUUUCCCGCUUACAGGAAAUUACUCUUUGUUUAUACCUUCUUCAAGCAACUAAUUCAGAAGUUCGUAACCAGUCCACAGCACUCCUCAAAGCCAAACUUCCAGAUCUUGUACGAGCUUACGUCGACACUGAAUCAGGGGACCGGGAGUUAUUGGAGCUACCAACAGAGUCCCUUCAUCUAUUGCUAACCCAAAUUGUUCAUCUGUGGAGAGAUCCCCCUGCUGCCCUACUACCUCAGGAAUCGAGGCAGGCCUUUAUUUGCGCUUUACAGCGUGAAUUUCCCCGGUCACGUGUCCCUGUAGUUCUUGCACCACUACUUUACUCAGACUCAGACAUUCCUAUGGAGAAAAUAACUCAAGAACAACCAGCCAACAUGGCAAAAAACCUUCUGGAUGGUUCAUUAGCUGAUCUAGUCUUAGAAUUAGGCUACAGUUUCUGCAAUACUGUGGAAGAAUGUAGAAACAAUUUGGCCAACUUUGGGGUGAGUUCCAUAACCCCAGCAGCUGUAGCCAAGGUCUUGGGUGUUAUGGUCCGAACUCACACGGGUUUACCAUCUGAGCCGAUUGGACUUCAAAAUCUAAACUCUCCCAGUUCUCUCUGGAGUGACAAUAAAGACAAGACCCCAAACAACCAGUCUCAGUCAGCCCCUGGUAAUGAAGUAGGUUUGAGUGGAUCAGGAAGUCUCUCUGGCCCUCAUGGAUGGAAUGUUGAGGUUUUCAUUAAGGGUCUACUUGAAGUUGUCCCAAAUCUCAAUGUUAAAGAGGUGAUAGUAAAGUUGGAUCACAAAGGAUUUUUAUUGAAGGACAGACAAGGUUUGAAGCUUCUGAUCACUGCACUCAGAUGUCUUCUCCAAGGCCAAGGAUUGAGGUUGGACUGUUUUCCAGUAGAUUGCUUUUAUCACCAGUGGAAGAACAGUGAAGAGCAAUUAAGUCUUAUUACUCAGAUUCUCAAGAAUUCUGAAAUAUUUUGCUUCGUAGAUUUUCCUUGCCACUUGGUGUCAACUGAUUGCCUUAAAACUCUGCCAGAGCUUGAUAACAAAGAGGUGGCAACAUGGAAAUCAGUGCAACUUCUAGAGAUUCUUCUUUACCUUGGGGAGGCUGGGCAUUUUACAGCUGUCAAAGAAUUGUUCAAAUUUCCUAUCCAGCAUUGCCCAGACAUUUUGGUGCUUGGCUUGGUUCAGGUGACGCUUCCAUACACCAUGUUGCGACAAGACCUUAUUGCUUCACUCAUUCCAAUUUUUCUUGGAAAUCACCCAAAUGCAGCAAUCAUUCUACAUCAUGCUUGGCACACUCAGAAUCAUUCAAGUACAAUUCGUCAGAUCAUCAUGCAUGCAAUGGCAGAGUGGUAUAUGAUGAUGGAAAAUGAUCAGACAAGACUUGGUCGCAUUCUGGAUGUUGCACAAGAUCUUAAGGCUUUAUCACUUCUCCUCAAUGCCCAGUCAUUUCCUUUUGUAGUGGAUUUGGCUUGUUUGGCAUACAGACGUGAAUUUUUAAAGCUGGACAAGUGGCUGACAGACAAGAUUCGUGAACAUGGAGAGCCCUUUAUAUCCUCUUGCAUAAAAUUCCUUCAGCGACGAUGUCCUCAGCUUAUGGGUGGUAAAGAAGAUAUAAUGCCAAAGUCUUCACAGCUACCUCCUGAGACAAUGGCUACUAUUCUUGUUUGCUUAAAUGCAUGUGCUAUGAAUGUCUCGCAAGAACUGUCUGACACCAUAUUGCAAAUGGUGCAGAACUGUAAUCUGAUGAACAGACCUCGCACGCAACAAGUGGGAGUGAUUGGAUUCCCAGGUCCUGGACCAACUCAGUCAAGUGAAGGACCAUUAGGCAGUAUUGCUUCCAGUCUAAGCAAUUUAAGUCUUGGUGCUGGUGUGUCUUCCACAAUCUUCCCAACUGCACCCUCAUCAUCCAUGAGUCUUGGAAAUUUAGGGUCACUUGGUACAGCCCCAGGUUCUCCGGGCCGUCCACUUGGACCCUCCACUACUGCUGGAACUUCACAGUCUCCUCUUUCUUCAAUUUUACCUACUCUACAGCUGGGACCACCACAUCCUGCAGUGGGAUCCCAGCUUGCCACUCUACCUACUUCAUCUAUUAUUCCCUCUUCACUAAGAUCUCAUUCAGUGCAACCAAGUGUUGCCCCGGCCAGACAAAUGGAUAUCUCCCAGAUUUUUGACAUGCCUCAGAUGGUGAGCAAGGAGGUAGAGGAUGAAGCCAAUAGCUACUUCCAGCGUAUUUACAACCACCCUCCGCACCCUACACUUUCUAUUGAAGAGGUAUUGGAUAUGCUGAAGAAGUUUCACGAGUCUACUAAUAAGCGAGAACGAGAAGUAUAUUCCUGCAUGUUACGUAAUCUGUUUGAAGAAUAUCGUUUCUUCCCAACUUACCCUGACAAGGAACUCUUCACUACAGCAAGACUAUUUGGUGGGAUCAUUGAGCAGGGUCUUGUAGAAUACAUGGCUUUAGGAGUUGCACUGCGGUAUGUGAUGGAGGCUCUCCAGAAGCCUCAUGGUAGUAAGAUGUAUUACUUUGGUAUUGUGGCCUUAGAUAGAUUUCGUAGUCGUUUAAAAGAGUAUCCACGAUAUUGUCAACACCUGAUGGCAAUACAACAUUUCAGCGAGUUUCCACCUCACCUUAUUGAGUAUAUCAAGUAUGGAACGCAGUCACAAGAGCCACCUACACGUCCUUCUGGUGUUGUCCUUCCUCCGUCAAUUAAUGUUUCUCCAAGCACACCUGCUCCAGGAACGACAACAUCUGUAGUGACUGCUGCAGUAACUCCAGUAGGGGUUCCCCCUCCACCAGUUGUCUCCACUGUUGUGUCAUCAGUGGCCAAAACAAUUACUGCUACAACCACCACCACUACCACUGCUGCAAUUACCAAACCACAGGCAAUGCCUAAUAAUUCAAGUGCAGUUGGGUCUGGCAAACAGCAACCAACUAUUACUACUACCAACAUCGAGACGCUUCUUGUUGCCACGGAGAAGGAAGAGAAAAUCACUCCACCCCCUGAGCACAUGCAAGACAAGGUUGCCUUCAUCUUCAAUAAUCUUGCACAGGUUAACCUGCCACAAAAAUGUGAAGAGUUGCGUGAAGUGGUUGGGGAGGAAUAUUGGCUAUGGGUGGCACAGUAUUUAGUGAUGAAGCGAGCAUCCAUUGAGAACAACUUUCACACACUUUAUUCUUUAUUUUUGGACCAGAUGAAAAUGAACAAUGUAAAUGCCAUGGUUUGUCGGGAGACCCUCAGGAAUAUCAAGGUGCUUCUGAGGGCUGAUAAAUCGGCUGCCAAUUAUUCUGAUAAGUCUCUCUUGAAAAACCUUGGCCAUUGGUUGGGGAUGCUCACUUUAGCCAAGAAUAAACCCAUUCUGCAUACUGAUAUCGACAUGAAGUCACUGCUUAUAGAGUCUUACAACAAGGGAUUACAGGAGAUGCAGUAUGUGAUUCCUUUUGUGGCUAAGGUGAUGGAAUCUUGUGCCAAGAGCAGAGUGUUUAAACCACCUAACCCAUGGACCAUGGCAAUCAUGAAUGUCUUGGCUGAACUUCACAAAGAACCAGAAAUGAAGCUGCAUCUGAAGUUCGAGAUUGAGGUUCUGUGUAACAAAUUGGAGAUAAAUCUGGAAGAAUUGAAGCCUGCUAAUGUGUUGAAUGACCGAGACCGGAUUGCCCGCCUUAAACCUCAGCUGUCACAGCCAGGAGGAUCUAAGCGAGCAGAGUCGACUCCUCUCUUUCCUGCUCUGCAAAGUUUUCCCUCUACACCAUUUAUGCCAAAGACAAGCUGGUCGCAAGCUGUGCCAACGGGUGCUGUCGUUGAUACAACUGGUGUAACUGUUCAGAGUGCGUCUGUUGGUGCCACACCUACACCCCCAACAGUUCUGCCUCCACAUCCCUCCACCACACCCACACCUAUCCAAGCUCAACAGCAACCUGCCUCAGAGCCACGUUUUAUUUAUUCAGAUAUUAAUGUAACGACUCUCAGGGGUCUGGAUCCUCACAUAUCUGUCUCUGUACCUCAGGUUUGUGGUAUUGCAACCAAUGCACAGGUAAAACAGUUAGUUCGCCAUGCUGUAGACUUGGCCGUCCAAGAAAUUGUUACUGCAGUAAUGGAACGUAGUAUCAAGAUUGCCAUCACUACUGCAGAGCACAUCAUUAAGAAGGACUUUGCAUUAGACCCAGAUGAAUCUCGAAUGCGUGCUGCCACACAUCAUAUGGUUCGAAACCUUACUGCAGCAAUGGCAAUGAUUACUUGCCGAGAUUAUCUGGCCACCAAUAUUACCAAAAACAUCAAGCAGGGAAUGUUGCAAGCAUUUUCCAGGUCCAACCAACAACAGUUACCUCAGCAGAUGGAACAAAUGGAGCAGCUGGCUGCUGCACUUGGCCAAGAGAAUGUUGGCAUUGCCUGUGCCUUUAUCCAGAAAACUGCUGCUGAGAAAGCUGUUACUGAAAUGGAUAAAAGAUUGUCUCAAGAAUAUGAAGCUCGGAAGGUAGCUCGAACGGAAGGACGACGCUAUUGUGAUCCUGUGGUAUUAACAUACCAAGCAGAACGUAUGCCUGAGCUUAUUCGGUUAAAAGUGGGUGGAGUCACUCCACCUCAAAUGGCUGUGUAUGAAGAGUUUGCUCGGAACAUACCAGGGUUCUUGCCUAUUACUGACCAAGAUACAAUGUUCUUAGCUAAACCUGUGCCUAUUACCUCUCAACAGCAGCAGCAGCAGCAGCAACAACAGCAGCAGCAGCAGCAACAGCAGCAGCAGCAGCAACAGCAGCAACAACAGCAACAACAGCAGCAGCAGCAGCAACAACAACAACAGCAACAGCCAUCUCACACACAAGCAGCAUUUGGUAGUGAAGAAUCAACAGCUUUCUUGGUGCUAACAGAGAGAAUCAGUGCCGAGUUGGAGCACACCAUUCAAGCCUUCACAACCCUUGCCCCCACAUCGCCACUUAUACCAAUGCUUCACUCUUUACAUGAAGGACUUCUGCUUACAAGAACCAACAGAGAUGUCCAUGCUACUCAAAUGCUACUUAGAAAGUGUGUAGAAAAUCUGAUGGAAGGUGCACGGGAAUUGCCCAAUGAACCAGAACUGAAUCAAUUAGCGUUGCGCUUCAGAGACUGCCACCUCAUUGUUCUUAAAGCCAUGGCUGAUCAUCGUUCCUAUGGUGUAAUGUGGACAUCAAAGAAUCUUACCAAAUGCUGGGCAGAAGCCAGAGAUGAUAUCAAAUAUAAUCUUGAUGUUGGAGAUUGGUUUAUCCGCUCCAACUUGUUUAACCUUCAGCUUCUGGAUGAACACUUGGCACGGACUCUUGAUGACCCUCGCGUGCACUCCUAUAUCCCUUCUCUCUUUGUGAUGCAACUAGUCCAGGUGUACCUUAUAGAUGACCCCAGCAAUAGUGUGCUAAGAGAAACUGAUUUACAGUUAACCUUAGAGGCCUUGGUACGUAUGUGUCAUUCCCGACAAGCUCCUGAGGGUCUUGUAUCACUCAUUGAGGCACUGCGCAUGAAGCAUGACUUGUUAAGUGGUGAGCGUUUAACUGGAGGAAACAGCCUUAGCGGAUCUACCAAUCCAUUGUCUGCUGGGCCUAGCCUUCACUUUCACUCUGGUGUUACACAGGCUAGAGACUUUCAGGAUCCACCUGCUCUGCAAGAGAAAACCGAAGUAUUAUUGCGAGAAUGGAUACAGAUGUAUCACUCGCCAACGGCUGGCCAAGGCUCGGCAUCUGCUUUCCAGCAUUUUGUAAAGCAAAUGAAUCUACAUGGAAUUCUUAAAACAGAUGAUCUCAUUACCAGAUUCUUUCGCAUCUGCAUCAGCAUGUGCCGAGAUUUGUGUGUGCGUUCCAUCUUAGAGCAAGGCCAGGGCCCAUCACCUACUUAUGUACGCAGCAAAUGUUUCCAGAAUUUGGAUGCAUUUGUACGGCUCAUUGCCUUGUUAGUUAAACACUCAGGAGAGGCUACCAAUCCUACUACUAAGAUAAAUCUCCUUAAUAAGGUGUUGGGAUUAGUGUGUGGCAUAAUGAUUCAUGACAUUGAGUCUAAUGGCACAGAGUUUCAACAGCUGCCAUAUCAUCGCAUCCUUAUUAUGCUGUUCUUGGAACUCAAUGCACCCGAAGCUAUCUUAGAAUCAAUCAACCUUCCGGUAUGUGAAGUAUUGAUGGCCUUCACGCAAACAUUACAUCUGUUGCGACCCAGUAAGUGUCCUGGGUUUGCCUAUGCCUGGCUGGAAAUUGUGAGCCAUCGGGUGUUCAUUGGGCGUAUGUUGGCUAUUACACCACAACAAAAAGGAUGGUCCAUGUACUCCAUGUUGUUAGCUGAUCUCUUUAAGUUUUUAGCACCCUUCUUAAGGAAUGCUGAACUAGCAAAGCCACUAACAAUGCUUUAUAAGGGUACCUUACGUGUGCUGUUGGUCCUUCUUCAUGACUUCCCAGAAUUCUUAUGCGAGUAUCACUAUGGAUUCUGCGAUGUCAUCCCUCCAAAUUGCAUUCAGAUGCGUAAUCUUAUUCUGUCGGCUUUCCCUAGAAAUAUGCGCCUUCCAGAUCCUUUUACACCUAAUCUCAAAGUUGAUAUGUUGCCUGAAAUUACUGUAUCGCCUAAGAUUCACACAAGUGUUGCCAACCUCAUUCAACCUCCAGAAUUCAAGAAAAAUUUAGAUUCCUAUCUAAAAAACAGAACACCUGUAACUUUUCUCUCAGACAUGAGAACUUACUUACAGCAGGUUUCCAAUGAACCUGGGAUGCAUUAUAACAUGUCUGUGAUGAACUCCCUGGUGCUAUAUGUAGGCAUGCAGGCCAUUGCACAGAUUAAUAGCAAGGGUCUCACUCCCUCCAUGUCCACAAUUGCUCAUUCCGCCCACAUGGACAUAUUCCAGAAUCUUGGUGUUGAUUUGGACACAGAAGGCCGAUAUCUGUUUUUGAAUGCUAUUGCCAACCAGUUGCGGUACCCAAAUAGCCACACUCAUUACUUCAGCUGUACUCUACUGCAUCUCUUUGCCGAGGCUAAUACAGAAGCCAUUCAAGAACAAAUUACCCGUGUACUUCUGGAGCGGCUUAUUGUUAAUCGUCCUCAUCCAUGGGGGCUACUCAUAACAUUCAUCGAGCUCAUCAAGAAUCCAUCAUUCAAAUUUUGGAGUCACGAGUUUGUAAAGUGUGCUCCAGAAAUUGAGAAAUAUGUAAUAAGAAACGCAAAUUGCAAAAUUUAGAUUUUUGGCUGCAUUUCGACCCUCGGUAGGGAUAGGGCCCAAAAAAAUGGUGUUGCAGUCAAAGGGUUAAGGUUGUUUGAAUCGGUUGCGCGCUCGUGUAUGGUGCAGAAGGUAUCAACCUCUCGGGAGGGAGAAGCCUGACCACAAAUGCUUCAGACAUAUUGUGCCCCACAAGAUACCUGACUACACACAUCUCCAACUGAGGCAGCAAUCCAAGCACUGUACUUCAAAUUACAAGAUAUAAGAACAUAUGGCACAGGAUUGUGUUACUGCUGACUGUUGGUGCUCUAAUUUUCAUAAUAGAGAUCUCAGGCAGCUAAGACUGUCCAAAUAUGUGAGGUGCUUAGCUAAAAGCUAAUUAAUGUAUUGAAUGGAAAUGUUAAACAUAAUGACUUCUCAGACUGUCCUCCAAGGAAGCCGUAAAUCGUACUGCUUUAGAUGGAGGUGCCAAGUGAAAAGCGAGAGCUAUUGCUGUGUUGUGACAAAUAUGUCAGUGGUGUUUUAUAUUUGUUUUAAAUAGAAGCAUUAUAUGUUAUAUUCUGGUGCCUAAAGAGACAAACUAGGUAUCUGUAAAAUACAGAUAAAAUCUGUUCCCAUUUUAACCCACGUGAUUUAUAAAGUAGAGGGUUAAAAGACAAAUAUCCUUUAUAGAAUGCCUAAUGAUUAUUAUGCAGCUUCGAGUCAUUUCCUAAGGGAUUCUUCCUUGACUAUAAUAUAUUGAAUGUUUUACUUGCUGAACCACAAGCAGCAAGGUUUGCUGUCAAGGUAUGUGAUUAUCUUAAGUCACUUAUUUACAGAUAUUUAAUAGUUUGUUUUCCUGGUGACUGGUAAAUUAUGCAAACUUGAAAGACCAAGAACUGUACAAUCUACUUUAUUAAGGACCUUCAGAGUGAAGUAAAAGUGCAUCCUAUAAUGGGUUGUGUAUUUACAGAUUAAAUUUCUGUAUGAAUUAAGACACAUGUGAGACAAAGCAGCCAUACACAGUGUGUCAAAGUACAUAAAAUAAAGAAAUGAAUUCCAGUGAGUGAUAUGUACCUAUAUUUUGUGAUCUUAACUUCCAGGGAACCAUGUGAUGAGCUAUACCUAAGAUGUUUAGAUAAUAUGUGAUGUAGAUUUCUAUGACAUGGCCUUUGCCAAGCCGCUUCUGCAGUAGGAAAGUGAGAAUCAAAGUAUUGGGCAUCAACAGAGUUCAUUAUGAAGAGUUACCUUUAGGUCUAAAAAAGUGGCUCAUAAUAUAAUAGUUGAGUGCAAUUAUAUGAUGAACACUUGAACUAUUAGCUAGUAUUUAUGCCGGAGUUGAGGAAUUCUUCAGUUUGGAGGAUUCUCGGAAGCAUGGCAGAAUUUGACUUGAGUAAUAACACUUCAUAUUUUGCAGAGAUGACCAUUGACGCAAAGCAUGUACAAAAUCCCACCCUCCUUGAUAGUUUCGUAAACUUCACCUUUAAGAAAUAACUUUGUAGGUAUUGUAAGAAGUGUAAUUAAGAUGCCCUGAUGCCCUGAGGCUUUCUAUCCUGCUGUAAAAUUUAAUUACACAAGGUUUACAAUAGCCACUUAACCAAAACAGAUCCGAGGCGUACAGUCAACUUUGCCCAUUGUCUCGUGUUCUGUUGCACCAAGUUUUAUUUAAUUACUUAACCAUUCCCAGGUACAUCCUAAAGGUGUAGUGUUAAAGCACAAAUAUAAGUUGUAGUCUAGGUGCUUCAACCCCCAGGCCUUUAGUUAGCCUUUAGCUUUAAAAAAUUGCAUUUCUUUUGUUACCAUUUUGCCAGGGACUAUUUAAUACUCAUGCCUGGGAAGUACUGUAUUCAUGUUUAUGCCUUAAACCCCUGGAAAUGUUACGUAAACAUAGAACCUGGGAAUUAACACUUUCUCUGUUACCUCGCUUCAAAGAACGUCACAGCUCUCUUAUGGCUUAAGGAAUAAAAAAUUUACAAUAUCGUUAAAUCAAUUAUUAUUUUGUAUUAAUUGUAUAAUAAUAAUAAUAGAGUUGUUGAAGGUUUGAAGAAGGAAACCUAAAAAUUGACCCAUAAUGUGAGUACUACGUUGUGGCUGUACAGUUCAAGUUUAUUUUUGGUGAGGACUUUCUCUAAAGAUAUGCAGUUUAACAGUUUGUGUCAUAUUCUUUAGUCCACUGUAAGUUAAGGAUGUGAAUAAAGGUCUCUUGUAGCAAAGCAAAA